AGAACAUCACGGUGACUUGCAAGCAAUUUACUAUACUUUAGUAUUGGACUAACUGAGUUUCUAAUUUUAUGGUAAAAGAUUGUUAGAUAUAAUCAAGUAUUUGUCAAAUCGGUGUGUGAGUCAAGAUGGGAUUGACCGCUCUGAAUUAGUAAGAGUUAAUGUAUCAAUGUAUUUUAAUUUAGCAAAACCUGAGCUCAGAUAAUCCAUGAGAUAGAUUUGAAAAAGAUUGAAAUACAAUGUGGAUGACUUAUCUAAGAUUGACAGUUAAAUCAUUGGUCAUCCUUGAACAUUAGGAUCAAAGAGAUGAAUUAUAUGAUAACCAUACGUCAAUAGAUUUUUGAAUGUUGCUUCACCUUCAUUCGACCUAUCCGGACA
rnacentral:lncRNA from 1 species